rnacentral:rRNA from 1 species
AUUGAACGCUGGCGGCAGGCCUAACACAUGCAAGUCGAGCGGUAGAGAGAAGCUUGCUUCUCUUGAGAGCGGCGGACGGGUGAGUAAUGCCUAGGAAUCUGCCUGGUAGUGGGGGAUAACGUUCGGAAACGGACGCUAAUACCGCAUACGUCCUACGGGAGAAAGCAGGGGACCUUCGGGCCUUGCGCUAUCAGAUGAGCCGAGGUCGGGUUAGCUAGUUGGUGGGGUAAUGGCUCACCAAGGCGACGAUCCGUAACUGGUCUGAGAGGAUGAUCAGUCACACUGGAACUGAGACACGGUCCAGACUCCUACGGGAGGCAGCAGUGGGGAAUAUUGGACAAUGGGCGAAAGCCUGAUCCAGCCAUGCCGCGUGUGUGAAGAAGGUCUUCGGAUUGUAAAGCACUUUAAGUUGGGAGGAAGGGCAGUAAAUUAAUACUUUGCUGUUUUGACGUUACCGACAGAAUAAGCACCGGCUAACUCUGUGCCAGCCGCCGCAGUAA